UACAGAGGUCUCAAGCGUUGUUCGGAUUCAUUGGGCGUAAAGGGUGCGUAGGCGGCGCGGUAAGUCGGGUGUGAAAUCUCGGAGCUUAACUCCGAAACUGCAUUCGAUACUGCCGUGCUUGAGGACUGGAGAGGAGACUGGAAUUUACGGUGUAGCGGUGAAAUGCGCAGAUAUCAGGAGGAACACCGGUGGCGAAGGCGGAUCUCUGGGCCUUACCUGACGCUCAGGCGCGAAAGCUAGGGGAGCGAACAGG
rnacentral:rRNA from 1 species